UAAAUACCAGGUGUUCAGAACACUCCUGAUAGCCUUUUAACUCAGAGGAGUAAGUACAACACAGAAACAGAAUGAGGAUUUUAAAACUUUUCACUUUACUAGCACUGCUGAUUCUCUGCCUCUCUUCCUUUUCCUCUGCAGGAAGGUACUACAAAGUCAAGAUUCCCAGGCAAAAAUAUGGUCCGCAAAAGGUACCUAGAAAACCCAACAGAUCCUAUCCACGUGCUAAACCUCUUUCAUAAAGAAGGCUCCAAUAUGAGAAAAAGGAUACUGUUUUGGAAAUGGCAAGUGAGAGGUCCAAGAUUUGAAAGAACUGUAGCAGCUCCUGAGGCACUCUAAAACUCCUAAUGCUUCUCUCUGAACCUUUAAAUGGCUACAGCUAUAUUCAUCAUUAUGCACAUACAAAAAAUAUUAUGGGGAAAUGAGUUAAGCUUUCAACAAUUAGAGCCACUAAUAUGUUGGAUACAAUGACACUCUCUUUUUCAGGACCAGGUUGUAACAAUUAACUCCAGAUUUUUUUUAUAAGGUGUAUGAUUUUGGUAAAAGUUCUCAUCUCAAGCAAAUUUCUAAAUGCAUAUUUGCUGUAUAUUGCUAUUGUGACAAUUUCAAUUAUUUUGUUUGUGGAUUUCUUGUUGAAAACAUGUAUUACAACAAAAAUGUGUAUGUAUAAUAUAGCUUGAGUGUAACAAUUUGAAUUAUUUGCUGUAAAUGAUAUACUAAGAUAUUUUUACAGGAGUGGGUCUGAGUACCAAAAUAAAGGAAAUACCCUAUGUUCUUAAAA